AGCCCAGUGGUGUACUGGUAACACAUCCUCUUUAAUUAUUGGACUAUGAACCAAGUGUUCGGAGGAAGCACCCUGUUCGAUUCGGGGCUGGGCCA